AAAGCAGGUCUGCAAUUGCAGCACUUCAUGUCAGUAAAGUGCUGUCAUUAACCCUGCUGAGAGCAUGUCUGCUGCAGAGCUAAUGCCCCUACUCACCAUCCUGGUGAUGAGGAAACUCUGUAGCUGAACACUU